ACUCCUACGGGAGGCAGCAGCAGGGAAUCUUGCACAAUGGGCGAAAGCCUGAUGCAGCAACGCCGCGUGUGGGAUGAAGGCCUUCGGGUUGUAAACCACUUUCAGGAGGGAAGAAAUUGACGGUACCUCCAAAAGAAGCCCCGGCCAACUACGUGCCAGCAGCCGCGGUAAUACGUAGGGGCGAGCGUUAUCCGGAAUCAUUGGGCGUAAAGAGCUCGUAGGCGGUUCAGCAAGUCGGCUGUGAAAGUCCGAGGCUCAACCUCGGAACUGCAGUCGAUACUGCUGUGACUAGAGUCUGGUAGAGGAGAAUGGAAUUCCCGGUGUAGCGGUGGAAUGCGCAGAUAUCGGGAGGAACACCAGUAGCGAAGGCGGUUCUCUGGGCCAGUACUGACGCUGAGGAGCGAAAGCAUGGGGAGCAAACAGGAUUAGAUACCCUGGUAGGCUCUGC
rnacentral:rRNA from 1 species